ACUGUGAGGGGAUUUAAACACUUGGCAACAAACUUACUGAGACUUUACACUUAGGAACAAAAUUAAUACAAUGGUCCCCCACAGGAAUACUAUGCAGAUGACAUUUUUACUUAAGAUACUCCUUCCUGCCCCCAAGCAUACCCCACAGCCAGGCUGCCUCAGAGAUAAGCAGUAUGGGUUCCUGGAGAUUUUCCAUUUCCAAAUGGCUACAGAGACCCACAACAUCUCCUGAUUGUGAGAUAGGUGGAAGAGACUUGGUACCCAUGACUUCAGGCUAGUUUGGGGCCAAGAAGCAAAUGCCCAGGAUCUCCAACAGCCGGGUCACUGUCUCUGUACGUGGAUGGGAUGCUGGCUGGUGCAGGAGGCGGCAGUCUGGGAAACCCAAACCCACAUGCAGUGAGGAGGCCAUGCACACCUGUGACCCCUGCACCGAGGAGGGGAGAGUGGAGGAGACAGGAGGAUCAGGAAGUUGGGGGCGUCCCUUGCUGCAUAACGAGUUUUAGGUCAUCCUGGGCUACAUGACCCCCCCGUCUGGGAAAAAUAAAAACAAAACGAACAAAAGAAGAAAGAGGGAACAUGCAGGCCUCCGGGAAAAGAAACCGCAAACUCAGACUAUUCAGCAAGCGCUACUGGAAGGGAGUUGGGAGAUUGCUGCAGGCCCGAGUCCCUCCCACAGGAUCAACUGCACAAACCCCAGAGAUCGAUAUAGGGCCAAGAAAACUCCCCCACCUAGAGACUUCAAAAAAAACCCAACCCCAAACCUUUCAUUGUUACCCCACCAAGGGGCCGCACUGCCGCUCCGGGUGUGUUUACUGGUAAGAUUUGCUGUAAUUAUUAUUAUUGUUACUUCGUGCAAGAAUACACUCAUUGUCUCCAAAGUUCA